rnacentral:misc_RNA from 1 species
AAAGUCGUAACAAGGUUUCCGUAGGUGAACCUGCGGAAGGAUCAUUACCAAAAGAAAAAAAAACCCCUUUCGAGUACUUGGGAGUUUUAGGUAGGAUGGUUCUUUGGGACCUGAUCAUCUUUUUCUUCAAAAGGCUUGAUUUCCAACACCUUGUGAACUCAAUGUAUUGUCCUUGGGGGGCUUAAAGAAGGAGAAGAGGAAACUCUGAACCUUUCCCCCCAACAGUCUUUGAAUCGUCUUAGGACGAGGAGAGGAACUCACAUAAACACCAUAAAUCUCAACCAUUGAUGGAAACUUUUUUUGAUGAAAAUCAUAAACAACUUUUAACGGUGGAUCUCUUGGCUCGU